GUCGGCUCAUCGCAUCCUGGGGCUGUAGUCGGUCCCAAGGGUUGGGCUGUUCGCCCAUUAAAGCGGUACGCGAGCUGGGUUCAGAACGUCGUGAGACAGUUCGGUCCCUAUCCGUCGCGGGCGCAGGAAAUUUGAGAGGAGCUGUCCUUAGUACGAGAGGACCGGGAUGGACGCACCGCUGGUGUACCAGUUGUUCUGCCAAGGGCAUCGCUGGGUAGCUAUGUGCGGACGGGAUAAGUGCUGAAAGCAUCUAAGCAUGAAGCCCCCCUCAAGAUGAGAUUUCCCAUUCCGCAAGGAAGUAAGAUCCCUGAAAGAUGAUCAGGUUGAUAGGUCUGAGGUGGAAGCGUGGUGACACGUGGAGCUGACAGAUACUAAUAGAUCGAGGACUUAACCUAU
rnacentral:rRNA from 1 species